rnacentral:piRNA from 1 species
UGGACUUAGUACUGUGACGAAAGCCUGUGGU